rnacentral:rRNA from 1 species
UACGUAGGGGGCAAGCGUUGUCCGGAUUUAUUGGGCGUAAAGAGCGUGUAGGCGGCCAGGUAGGUCUGCUGUGAAAACUCGAGGCUUAACCUCGAGCUGUCGGCGGAAACCAUCUGGCUAGAGUCCGGAAGAGGAGAAUGGAAUUCCCGGUGUAGCGGUGAAAUGCGCAGAUAUCGGGAAGAACACCCGUGGCGAAGGCGGCUUUCUGGCCCGUUCUUGACGCUGAGGCGCGAAAGCUAGGGUAGCAAACGGG